CUCACCAGAAGAUGCGUCUACGGUAUCAGGAAAAUUAACUGAGCUAUCAGCUGAAGGAGCCAAAGCUGUUUAUAGUGAAUUUAUGGGAACCAGCUCAGAUAAGGACUGGAAGAACUGGAAAGUCUUCAUGCAAAUGAUACUUACCUGGGAAGAAAAGAAUGAAGAUGGAAAGAGACAAUUUUUAUCAAAGCUUCGGUCAAUAGAUUUAGUUGAUAAGUCAGAUGCUGAUAAAGUACAACAAAUUGCUAACAGUCAAAUCAAAGGUUAUUACAGGCAAGUGUCAGAGAAUGAUUAGAGUGAAUAUUAAAAAAAAAACUAUAAUUUUUAAUCCUUAAUUAAAAGAUAGAUUAUUUACAUUUUUUUUGUAGAACAGUGAAGUAUUUCAAUUAUUUUUAUAUGAAAUUUCAUCAUGAUUCGUAUAUC